UACGGAGGGUGCAAGCGUUAAUCGGAAUUACUGGGCGUAAAGUGUGCGCAGGCGGCGCCGCAAGUCGAGUGUGAAAUCCCCGAGCUUAACUUGGGAAUUGCGCUCGAAACUACGACGCUGGAGUAUGGCAGAGGAAGGUGGAAUUCCACGUGUAGCGGUGAAAUGCGUAGAGAUGUGGAGGAACACCGAUGGCGAAGGCAGCCUUCUGGGCCAAUACUGACGCUCAUGCACGAAAGCGUGGGGAGCAAACAGG
rnacentral:rRNA from 1 species